UGCCAGCAGCCGCGGUAAUACGGGGGGAGCAAGCGUUGUCCGGAAUUACUGGGCGUAAAGGGCGCGUAGGCGGAUUGGAAAGUUGGGGGUGAAAUCCCAGGGCUCAACCCUGGAACUGCCUCCAAAACUCCCAGUCUUGAGUUCGAGAGAGGUGAGUGGAACUCCGAGUGUAGAGGUGAAAUUCGUAGAUAUUCGGAAGAACACCAGUGGCGAAGGCGGCUCACUGGCUCGAUACUGACGCUGAGGUGCGAAAGUGUGGGGAGCAAACAGGAUUAGAUA
rnacentral:rRNA from 1 species